UGCAUGCCUUUAAUCCUAGUACCCAGG
rnacentral:piRNA from 1 species